rnacentral:tRNA from 1 species
CCUUUCUUAGCUCAGUUGGCAGAGCAGUGGACUGUAGUUCCAUGGGUCACCUGUUCGAUUCAGGUAGAAAGGAACA